AACAGGUGUUACACACAUGAGCUAGAAAACUUAGAAUUUUAGCUUAGUACCUUUGAGUAAAAAUAGGAACGGGAAUUAUUGCCUUAUACACCAACAUAUUAUUUAUUCUGGGAUUUCUGGCUUCUGACUGUGACCACCUGCCUUAGCAGAUUUGAAGCCCAAUCUUCUACACUGGUGCUGGCUUCAGUUCAUUCUCAUCUCUAUGUCUGCUGCUGUUUCAACAUUGUGGUGGUCAAACUGAGUUGUACUGAGCAGCACCCAGAAAGGAGGAG